AAUAUUGGACAAUGGGCGAAAGUCUGAUCUAGCCAUGCCGCGUGUGUGAAGAAGGUCUUCGGUUUGUAAAGCACUUUAAGUUGGGAGGAAGGGGUUGAAGCUAAUACCUUCAAUCUUUGACGUUACCAACAGAAUAAGCACCGGCUAACUCUGUGCUAGCAGCCGCAGUAAUACAGAGGGUGCAAGCGUUAAUCAGAAUUACUGGGCGUAAAGCGCGCGUACGUAGUUCAGUAAGAUAGAAGUGAAAUCCCCGAGCUUAACCUGGGAACUGCUUUCAUAACUUCUGAGCUAGAGUACGGUAGAGGGUAGUGGAAUUUCCUGUGUAGCGGUGAAAUGCGUAGAUAUAGGAAGGAACGCCAGUGGCGAAGGCGACUACCUGGACUGAUACUGACACUGAGGUGCGAAAGCGUGGGGAGCAAACA
rnacentral:rRNA from 1 species